rnacentral:rRNA from 1 species
UACGUAGGGUGCGAGCGUUAAUCGGAAUUACUGGGCGUAAAGCGUGCGCAGGCGGUUUUGUAAGCCAGAUGUGAAAUCCCCGGGCUUAACCUGGGAAUGGCAUUUGGGACUGCAAGGCUGGAGUGUGGCAGAGGAGACUGGAAUUCCCGGUGUAGCAGUGAAAUGCGUAGAUAUCGGGAGGAACACCAGUGGCGAAGGCGGCGACCUGGGCCAAUAUUGACGCUGAGGUGCGAAAGCGUGGGGAGCAAACAGG